rnacentral:sRNA from 23 species
UUGGCGAUAUUUUUGGUUGGAAUGUAGUACCUGCUAAUAGUACUAAACGCUGCCACAAAAUAACCUGUCAGUUAUUUUCACCUAAAAAUAAA